rnacentral:rRNA from 1 species
AGAGUUUGAUUCUGGCUCAGAACGAACGCUGGCAGCGUGGAUUAGGCAUGCAAGUCGAACGAGAAGCCUUUCUUUCAAUUCUUCGGAAGAGAAAGAUUGGUGGAAAGUGGCGGAAGGGUGAGUAACGCGUGAGCAACUUGCCCCUUAGUCUGGAAUAACUCCGCGAAAGUGGGGCUAAUACCGGAUGUGGAUUCCCAGCGCAUGUUGGGAGGUCUAAAGAUGGGGAUUCUUCGGAACCUGUCGCUAAGGGAGAGGCUCGCGUCCUAUCAGCUUGUUGGUGAGGUAAUGGCUCACCAAGGCAAUAACGGGUAGCUGGUCUGAGAGGAUGGUCAGCCACACUGGGACUGAGACACUGCCCAGACUCCUACGGGAGGCUGCAGUCGAGGAUCAUUUGCAAUGCGCGAAAGCGUACAAUGCGACGCUGCGUGGAGGACGACGGCCUUAGGGUUGUAAACUCCUGUCAGGAGGAAAAAAUUAUCUCGUGGUUAAUAACCACUUGAUUUGAUGGUACCUCCAAAGGAAGCCACGGCUAACUCUGUGCCAGCAGCCGCGGUAAUACAGAGGUGGCUAGCGUUGUCCGGAUUUACUGGGCGUAAAGGGUGCGUAGGUGGUUAUGUAUGUCGAAUGUGAAAGCCCACGGCUUAACCGUGGAAGUGCAUUCGAAACUGCAUAACUAGAGUUCAAGAGGGGAGAGCGGAAUUCUUGGUGUAGCGGUGAAAUGCGUUGAUAUCAAGAAGAACACCGGUGGCGAAGGCGGCUCUCUGGAAUGUAACUGACACUGAGGCACGAAAGCUGGGGGAGCAAACAGGAUUAGAUACCCUGGUAGUCCCAGCCGUAAACGGUGUGAACUUGGUGUGGGAGGAGUUAACCCCUUCCGUGCCGGAGCUAACGCGUUAAGUUCACCGCCUGGGGAGUACGGCCGCAAGGCUAAAACUCAAAGAAAUUGACGGGGGCCCGCACAAGCGGAGGAGCAUGUGGCUUAAUUCGAUGCAACGCGAAGAACCUUACCAGGGCUUGACAUGUACCUGCACGCUCCCCGAAAGGGGAGAAGCUUUCGAAGGUGGUACACAGGUGCUGCAUGGCUGUCGUCAGUUCGUGCCGUGAGGUGUUUGGUUAAGUCCAGCAACGAACGCAACCCCUAUGUUUAGUUGCCACCAUCGGUGAUGAGCCGGUGAGCACUCUAGACAGACUGCCCGUACAAGCGGGAGGAAGGUGGGGACGACGUCAAGUCAGUAUGGCCCUUACGCCCUGGGCUGCACACGUGCUACAAUGGUCGGUACAGAGGGAAGCAAUACCGCGAGGUGGAGCAAAUCCUCAAAACCGGCCCCAGUUCGGAUUGGAGUCUGCAACUCGACUCCAUGAAGUCGGAUUCGCUAGUAAUGGCGCAUCAGCUACGGCGCCGUGAAUACGUUCCCGGGCCUUGUACACACCGCCCGUCACAUCAUGAAAGCCGUCUGCACCCGAAGUCGCUGAUCUAACCCUCAGGGGAGGAAAGUGCCGAAGGUGUGGGUGGUAAUUGGGAUGAAGUCGGAACAAGGUA